rnacentral:lncRNA from 14 species
UCGGAGAACAGCCACUUCUUCGCCUACCUGGUGACCACUGCGAUUGUCGUCGCUGCCUUGUACGUCGCCUAUCACAACAAGCGCAAGGUGAGAGGCUUUGGUUUGAUGGAAUCAUGGCACUGGUAGGAUGGAUUUAACAUUAAGCCUUGACCCAAGAGCUGUGGGAGGAGCAGGGAAAAGGGUUGGAUCAGUGUGGGAAUCAGGUGGCCUCAGCUCUGGGGUUAUUUCCAACUGGGAGAGGUUAAAAGAGGAUGAGGGAGGUUCCCCCCUGGUUUCUUGCUGGCAGGGAGCUCUCUGGAGCAGGAUGCAGGAGGUUUGUCCUUAAGUGGGCUUAACAGAGCGCCAGGGAUGUAACUGGGUUCUGCUGGGUUGGUUUUCCCUCUGGUAAAGCUAUUUUAGGGGUAGGAGACAGAAACAAACUCAUUGUGUGCUGUGUGUUAGAUGUAACAGGGUAGUGAGAUGCUUCCCAUGUUAGAUGCUUCCCAUCUGUGCUGGCGUUAGUGUUGGCACCUGUGUUUGCAGUGAGAAAAAGCUGGUUUGGUCACUGCUGUGCCACUCAUCCUGUCCCCGCUUCUCUCUCCAAAGAUCAUUGCUUUUGCUCUGGAAGGAAAAAGAUCCAAAAGUGGUCGAAGACCCAAAUCUGGCGAUUAUCAGAGGCUGGAGCAGAAGAUCUAGCUUCCUCCUUGGAUGCUCAGUGAGUAGUGAUGGACGGCAUUGGAAGUGCAGGAACCCCAGGACACCCACUGCCUCCCCCGCUCAGCUGUGCACCGUGUCCGGGUUCCAGACAGCAGGAAGAGGAAGGGGAAAUGCUUUUAGCCUUGCACCUGCAGCUUGGUAACGUUAAACCCUUCACUUCCUCAUACGUGUUCCUCCUUUUCCACCUGCCUGAAGAUGAAAGUCCCCUGGCUUGUAGCCAGUGCCCAGCACUUGACAGAGCCUCUGUGGCCAAAUGAAAUGGGAUUUGCCAACUACUGUACUGAUGUCUCCUCCUGGGGGAAAGAAAUUGUAUAGAGAGAGAUGUGUGUGUCUGUCUGCCUGCGAAAUGAGCCGUCUGACCCUCCCCCUGCAGAGCCAGAGCUCUGCUUGUACCCAGCACCUUGAGGCACAUGUGUUCUCCUCUCUGCUGUCUUUGGAUGCUCAGCUGCAGCGUGUGACCAACUGCACUGGUUUGGAAGUGAUCCACUGAGGCCUCUGAUCUGUGAUUGAUUUCCCUCUGUGUGUAAUGAAGACAAUGUUGGGCUUUAACAUCCAGAUUCUCUCUUGCUGCACAUCUUUGACACUUGGAUCCUGGCUUAAACCUCCUCCCAUCUUCUGUUCCCUGCAGGGCUCUGUCCUUCCCUGCUCCCUGCUUGUCUCCUCCCUCUCACCCCCAGAGCUGUUUGCACUGUGUGAAGGUGGCAGCUGCCAUCCAAUGCUCUGCAGGACAGCUGAGGCUGAGGAAGCUCCAUGCCCUUGGGCACAGUGUGGUUGUAACAGACCUCACCUGGAAGGUGCUUCCCCCCCUUGUCAGCAUCAUUCCACAGCAGUGUAAAGUGUGUGGUGACCUCAAAGCAUUGGGAUGAAUGGAACUUGCACCCUUCAAACCUCUUCCAGAAGGAAGCUGAAGGAGCCUCCCCACCAUGGAGCUCGAUGCUCCUGCUCUGGACGCCCUUUCCC